rnacentral:ncRNA from 28 species
AGGAACGUUGAAGACGACGACGUUGAUAGGCCGGGUGUGUAAGCGCAGCGAUGCGUUGAGCUAACCGGUACUAAUGAACCGUGAGGCUUAACCUU